rnacentral:RNase_P_RNA from 1 species
CCAGUUGACCGGGUGGCCGCGCUCCAGUGGGUAACCGCUGGAGGGAGGAAAGUCCGGGCUCCAUUGAAACACGGUGCCGGGUAACGCCCGGCGGGGGCGACCCCAGGGAAAGUGCCACAGAAAGCAAACCGCUCCGGUUCGCCGGAGUAAGGGUGAAAGGGUGCGGUAAGAGCGCACCGCGGGACGGGCAACCGGACCGGCACGGUAAACCCCACCGGGAGCAAGACCAAAUAGGGAUGACGCGGGGCUUGCCCCAGCCGGUUUCAAGGCCAGAUCAUCCGGGUUGGUUGCACAAGGCGUCUGGCAACAGGCGUCACAGAUGAAUGGUCGCCACGUAUUGCGCUCCGGUGCGAUGCCCUACAGAACCCGGCUUACAGGUCAACUGGCACU